UUCAGGAAUUCUUUGCAGAAAGCGAGAUUGUACUUGCAAUAGGGCUACAAGAAAACACCAGGAUGACUUUACACGUGUAGAAUGAUCGGCAAGCUUGAGGAGCAAGUAUUUUGACAUCUGUCGCCGAAGAGUUUAGAAUUGAUAAAAAAGAUCUUUCACUGAAUUGAAAAGCCUUCCAAACGACAGGUACAACUGCAAAAAAGGUUGGUGGUUGUCGGCUAAGGAAUGCAAUGGUGUCUAAUAACUAGUGGUAUCGCUCUGCAGGCAAAACGAGAUCAGAACUAGACAAAGGACAACUCUGCUCGGCAGUUGCGCAUUACAACCGGACUGCAGGUAUCCAAUUUACUGUGGACAGACGACUUCAUAAAAGGUAUCAAUGGCAGACCAUGGAGCAAUGUCUAAAGCUUGUUCAGCUGGCACAACGGUACGACGCAUGGCGGUCCAUGGUGCAAAUACAAAGAUGAUGAUGAAAUCAAAAAGGACAUCGUGCCUCUAUAGAUGAAAAGAGCAUUAAGAAUCGACACUCGAAGCUAAUGGACACCGAUUCUGUAUCAGUUGCUAGAAGACGCGGUCGCCCCUCAACGUCCAGGAAGGAGAAAAAUAUGCAAGUGGUUCAGGAAAUGUUCCUUCGAAGUUCUCAGAAAUCCCAAAGGCAGACAUCGCGCGAAAAUAUUUUAACCUGAUACAGAGUCCGAACCAGGAUCAUACCGGGAUGGUAGCUCAAUUCGCUUACGCAAGGUUAGACGUUGCGCAUGGUCGACUGGCAGUGACGCAAAUGAGAUAUCAUAUAAUUAAUUCUACCAUUGUAAGGAACAAAAUGUUCUUUGUUUCAGGAUGAAAAUUCAUUAACACAAAAAACUACAUUACAAAACUAAAUUAAUGAGUUUAAGCGAAACCUGAUAAUGAAAAGUUUUAAAUUAGGAGAAAAAAAGAAACAUCCUCAGGUUCAGAUUUGAAUAAAACUCAGAACUUCUUAUUCAAAGUUUACAUGAAUCUAAGGUUGCUUUAUUGCCUAAUUUGUAAGGAAUUUACCUGAAUUCUCUUGUAGGACUGUUUCACAUAGUCUUUCAGCUAGACGUACAGGAAAUACUCCAAUUACAUUAAUACGAAUUAAGUCCUUGCAAGUUUGACACAAGUUAAUGAUGGCAUCAUCUAAAUGAAGUAUACUGAAGAAACCGAAAUCGAGGUGAAUGAUCUCUAAAAGUAUAAGUGCAUUCAUUAAAGGAAAUAUAAGUUGUAAAUUAAAUAAAAAAUUUCAGCAGCUAUCCUGAACAUUAUAAUCAAUUGCCGAUACGAAUGCUAAUAGAAAAAACAUGGCAGUUUAUGGUAUAUCGAAGAUAUAUGACAAACAACAGAAUUACUUUCGGACGAACGAGUAAUGCUGCUUAACCUUACUUUUAAUUAUUUUUCAGUCUUGUUGAAUGCAUAUGGAAAAUAAUACUUAUCAUUUGACAUAAAAUUCUAAAACAGCGAUUGCGAACCAAUUGCCCAAAAAAAUUUGGGCACAGCAUUAUUUGAGGAAUUUAGGUGCUUAUUAUCAGCACAGUCAGUCUACACCUGACUAUUUUCAAAACUGUUUACCUUGCUACCAGCGACCAUGGCUAACACAGGCAAUUUGUCGAAACUGGCCGUUAGUACGUAACGUGAACUGAAGUGAGCGUUAAACAUAGUAUUUAUCGUUAAUACAAAUAUUCGUUAAUACUAUGUUAACGUUAAUACUAAUUUCGUUAAUACAAAUGUUUUCUUAAAUUUGUGCAAAAUAUCUUUACAACUUUAUGUAUUAUCAAUAUGGCUAGUUCGACGAAAAAAGGAAAAACUGUAAGCUAAGUGUAAGAAAGAACUUCAAACUUGGUGGACUGAGAAAUUUAACAUGAUUAUUAAAAGCAAUAAAGCGGUAUACAUUCUAUGUUGUGGAACAACAUUAUGUAGAACUCUAUUUGUAAAAUGACAUUAUGAAACAAAUCAUAAAUCUCUUUGUCAAAAAAGCGAACCAGAAAUAAAAGAAAUCAUUGCAUAUGCACUUUAAGACAUUGUAUUCAUUGCAUGUGCAAUGGGUGGCAUGGAUGUCUGCAAUCACACUGCAUUCAUUGCAUACAUUGAUUGCUUUCAUUGCGUGUGCAAAUAAAUAGAGAAAAUAAGCACUCGAUAUCUAUGAUUAAAUAUAUUAACAGGGAUUGCUAAUGCAAGUGCCGCAAGGUUUUCGGUUGCAAAUGUCAUUGCCCGGCACGGCAAAUCUUUUGGCGAAGAAGAAUGUUUUAAGUAAGCCUGGUUAGCAUACGCCCCAUCACUGUUUGAAGAUUUUCAAAGUAAAUGUAAAAUAAUUCAGAGCAUUUAAGAUAAAUAUCUAGAAACACAGUAAAAGAUAGAAUACUAAAACUAGAAGAAAGUAUAAAAGAACAACAAAAAAGACAUCAAGUAACUCUUUCUCUCUUUUUUAAAAAUACAGAUGUAAGUAAACUGCUCGUUUAGCUCUUUUUGCGCGAUACUUUGCAAUAAACAACAUCAAGGACAAGUUAAUUACAAUAACAUGGUUGCCAACAACUACUGUGAGCUCAGAUAUUUGUACGGCUGUUAUAAAUUCAUUUCCUGUUAAAGAAAUAGAUUUUAAAGUAAAAUUGUUUCGAUAACGACUGAUGCUGCUUCCAGUAUGAUGAACAAAAAUGAUGGCUUUAUCAGUUUAUUUCAAACACGCAUUGGACAUUCGAUUUUUGAAUUCCGUUGCAUCAUACUUCAACAAGCCUUGUGCGCGAAGGAUGGUUUCGCCUCCCUUGCUAAUAUAGUACUUGUUGAUGAUAAAUGUGCUUGUUGAUGUACAACAAUGUUCUCUGAUUGAGCCAUCGUAACUUACUUGAAUGAUUUGUUGAUUACUUGAAAGGAAUUGACAUCUUUUCAAUGAUUCGAAUAAGCUUCAAGGUCUAAACAAGACAGUAAUUUUUAUGAUAGCCUUUUGAGGCUUUGAGGUUAAACUGUAAGUUUUAAAUAAAGGUACUUUUUUCGAAAACUACAACUAUUUCCCAAACUUGAAACAUUUUAUCCGCGAUUUUGAUUUACACGAAAAAUCAGACCAAGCGAAAGUCACUGAAGAGUUUUCUUUGGUAUUCAAUUCUUCAAUAAAGAAGUUUCGUCGAAGUCUUCUCGGUUUACAGAGUUAUAAGAAACACUCAAAUUUAUUAUGUACCCUGAUGUGAUGCCACUUGAUACAUUUGUAUAAGUUUAAUUGGUUGGUGAUUGAAGAAACUGAAAUGCAGCUAAAUGAUUUCCAGUCUAGUUCAAUAUAGCUAAAAGUUUAUGAAAAUAAAGGAAAAGUUGGAAUCAAUCGAAGUAGAAAGCCUAUCAGGGAAUAUGAGCAAAACUGCUAAUGCUAAAAUGAUCGAAACGUGAAACUCAUUUCCAGACGUAAGUUAUCUAUAAUUACAGUUAUUAUGUUACCCCCCCCCGAAAAAAACUUACAUUUGCUUGCUAUUUUAACAAUAUUUUUAUCUACCCAUUAUGAGUAAUUAUUUUCAGGAAUGAAUAAAAUUAAAGAUUCGCUGAGAAACUAUCUGUCAGAUGACUCCAGGUCAGCUUUACUUCUGCUAAAAGUAAUAAAAUAUUAACCUAGUAUGAAUUAUUAGUAAUGUUAUGGUUACUGUCUAAAUGUUGACUUUUGAUUGCAAUGAUUGCAAAUAAAAAGUAUUAAUAAAGAA
rnacentral:lncRNA from 1 species